GCACUUCGGUCAUGAAAACUGGACAAAAUGUAUGAAGCAUGUCGUUAUCUUGCAGCUAGAUGCCAUUAUGCUUCAAAAGAGCACCAGCAGGCACUUGAUAUUCUUGAUAUGGAGGAACCAAUCAACAAAAGGUUAUUUGAAAAAUACUCGAAGGAUGAAAGUGGCUUGAAGGAUUCCUCCAGUGACUGGGAAAUGUCACAGUCUUCAAUAAAGAGUUCUAUUUGUCUUUUACGAGGGAAAAUCGACGAUGCCCUGGAUAACCAAACCCUGGCUACUUAUAGCUACAAAGAAGCAUUGAAACUCAUUGUCUACUGUUUCGAAACAUUUGAUCUUUUAACAUUACACCACAUGUUAACAGCUCAAGAAGAAAAAGAACCUCUUGAGUCGCUACCUCUUGGCAAACUCUGUACUGAAGAACAGGAAUUGCUGCGUUUUCUGUUUGAGAACAAAUUAAAAAAAUAUAGUAAGUCUAGUGAAACUGUCAUCCCUGAGUCUAUAGAUGUCUUGCAAGAGAAUCUGGAUGUGGUAGUGUCUUUAGCUGAGAGGCAUUAUUAUAACUGUGAUUUUAAAAUGUGCUACAAGCUUACUUCUGUAGUAAUGGAGAAAGAUCCUUUCCAUGCAAAUUGUUUACCUGUCCAUAUAGGGACACUUGUGAAGCUGAAUAAAGCAAAUGAACUUUUCUAUUUUUCUCAUAAACUGGUGGAUUUUUAUCUUAGUAAUCCUGUGUCUUGGUUUGCAGUGAGAUGUUAUUAUCUCAUGGUUGGUCAUAAAAAUGAACAUGCCAGAAGGUAUCUCAGCAAAGCUACGAUGCUUGAGAAGACCUAUGGGCCUGCAUGAGUAGCCUACAGCCAUUCAUUUGCGGUGGAAAGUGAGCAUGACCAAGUGAUGGCUGCUUACUUCACAGCAGCACAGCUGAUGAAAGAGUGUCAUUUUCCAAUGCAGUAUAUCGGAUUAGAAUGUGGUUUGACCAAUAACUCAAAACUGGCUGAAAGGUUCUUCAGCCAGGCCCUGAGCAUCGCACCUUUUGUUAUGCAUGAGGUUGGCGUGGUUGCAUUUCAAAAUGGAGAAUGUAAAACAGCAGAAAAAUGGUUUCUCAAUGCUUUGGAAAAAAUUAAAGCAAUUGGGAAUGAGGUAACAGUUAACAAAUGGGAAGCUUUGUUGAACAACUUGGGGCAUGUCUGCAGAAAACUUAAAAAGUAUGCAGAAGCUUUAGAUUGCCACCAUCAGGCGUUGGUGUUGAUUCCUCAGAAUGCGUCCACCUAUUCUGCUAUUGGAUAUAUUCACAGUCUGAUGGGCAACUUUGAAAAUGCUGUGGACUAUUUCCACACAGCCCUUGGUCUCAGGCAAGAUACAUUUUCUGUUACAAUGCUUGGUCAUUGCAUUGAAAUGUACAUCAGUGACUCUGAAACUUAUAUUGGAGCAGACAUUAAAGACAAAUUAAAAUGUUAUGACUUUGAUGUGCAUACAAUGAAGACACUAAAAAACAUUAUUUCACCUCUGUGGGAUUUCAGGGAUUUUGAAGUAGAAAAACAGACUGCAGAAGAAACGGGGCUUGCACCACUGGAAACCUCAAGGAAAACUCCGGAUUCCAGACCUUCCUUGAAGAAACCUUUGAGAUCGAAAUGAAUGAAAGUGACAUGAUGUUAGAGACAUCUAUUCAGACCAUAGCACAUGACUCCAGACGGUGAUCCUGGUUCCAUUUGUCCCGGUGUAGGAACAGAGACCUGCCUUAAGAGACUGGAUUGCACACCCUUGCCACAGAUGUGUUGUGAUUCUCUAAACCUCCACAAUAGUUAAACAUAGUGGAAUAAAGAAGGUAAACCAU